CUUCCGCUGAAGAAUCCCACAAUAGGACGAAACGACCGUUCAGUAC
rnacentral:hammerhead_ribozyme from 1 species